ACAAUCUUCACCUUAUAAGCUAGCUUUUGGGGUUGAGUUAGGCCCUAGGUCCAUUCUUAUCAUGGUAUCAGAGCUAGGCUCAUCCCAAUUAUUGUUAUCGAUGUUGGGCCCCCAUUUAUGUUAUCCACGCUCCAGAGAUCUGGGCGUGGGGGUGUGUUGAGUUGUCCCACAUCGGAGGGAUUUGAGGUACUUGAUCUCCUUAUAUGGACCUUGGGCAAUCCUCACCUCAUAAGCUAGCUUUUGGGGUUGAGUUAGGCCCAAUGUCCAUUCUNNNNNNNNNNNNNNNNNNNNNNNNNNNNNNNNNNNNNNNNNNNNNNNNNNNNNNNNNNNNNNNNNNNNNNNNNNNNNNNNNNNNNNGAGUUAGGCCCAAUGUCCAUUCUUAUCAUGGUAUCAGAGUCAGGCCCAUCCCAAUUAUUGUUACCGAUGUUGGACCCCAUUUAUGUUGUCCACGCUCCAGAGAUCUGGGCCUGAAGGGGGUGUUGAAUUGUCCCACAUCGGAGGAAUUUGAGGUCCUUGGUCUCCUUAUAUGGCUUGGGCAAUCCUCACCUCAUAUCAAAAACAACUUUACCGUUGAAAAGUUCCCCUUCACCUUUCAUAAAUUCAUCGAGAAAAAUUUCUAUGCUGGUAAUCAUUUAGUUUCUUGCUCUUUCAUCAAAUUGGCUAUACAGUUGCCUUGUUGACUAACUUGAAGGACCCACAAGGACCAUCCUCAACUAGUUCGUAGGAGCUGUCAUUUUUAUCACUAUAAGCCUUACUUCGACGUAUGUAGUCAUAGGUAAUGUACAUGAGGAAGUCUAGAAAGAGACUCUUUCCUGUUGUUUCUGUACAGCAUCUGUGUUUUCUUGUAUAUAGCGAGAAGCAUUGUCCAAAAUGUUAUAUGUUAUUUCAUCAAACUCGAAACCAAUUUCGCUCAACUUCUGCCCCCACAUCAACGCCCGCUGAGGUAGUCCCUGCUUCCAUAGGUGAGAAAGAAGUAAGUUAGCUGUAACGGUGUUUGGGAUGAAUGCCAUCUUAAGCAACUUUGCUGCCAAAAUCAUUGCACGGUCCAAUGUGUCAUUGCAAGCACUAUUCAUCAUAGUGUUGUAUGUAACGGUAUUUGGCACCACUCCAGCAGAUACAAGCUCAUCCAACAUCAUAACUGCUCGAUUAUCCUCCUACUACUACAGAAACCAUGAAGCUUUACAUUGUAGGUUGUGAUAUCAGGUUCCCAUCCACUGGCAUACAUUCUUGUCAUAAAGUUAUCCGCAUUGACCAUGUCGAAUGCUUUGCAGAAUCCGUUGAUCAAGGUGUUAUAUGUAACAAUAUCAGGUUGUAUACCACUUCGUUGCAUUUCCACAAAACUGUCAACAGCUAAUCUCAUUCUUCCCUGUUUGCAGAAACCACUGAUGAUGGUAUUAAUUGUGAAGACAUCCGGGAGAAGACCCCUAUCCCUCAUGUCCCUCUCUAGUUUCUGAGCUUCAUUCAGUUUUCCGCUAUUACAGAAACCAGUAAUUAGCGAAUUAUAAACAAAAUUAUUUGGCACAAGCCCUUUCCUAGCCAUCUGGAAAAAAGCAUCACACGCAUCUUCAACAGAUCCUGCUUUAGCAAGCCCAUCUAUCAAUGCAGAAAAAGCAACAGAAUCAGGAGCGAUUCCCAUCAUUUCCAUUUCUUCCCACAAUAUUCUAGCUCCUAUUACAUCUCCUUUCUUAAAAUACCCAUCCAGAAGCACAGUGAAAGCAGUUCUUCUAUUAACAGGGAAGGACAUUGCAAUCAUCUUAGCCAUUAAAUUUCCCGCUUCUUGCAGCCUCCCUGUCGUUGCCAAACCCACGAGAAGGGAAGUACACGUGGAAGCUGAAGGAGUCUGACCAAACUGAACCAUAAUAUUAUAGACUUCAAAUGCUUUUUCUUCUAACCCUUCUUUGCUGUAAGCAGCAAUAAUGGAAUUAAAAGCUAUUACACUAACAGGUAUCCCCUUCUCAAGCAUAUUAUCCAACAAUGUUACAGCCUCGUUCAACCUUCCUGCCCAACACAAUCCUGCAAUUGAUACAUCAGAGAAUAAACAAUCUGAAAAAAGUCCCGUCACUGUUAGAUCCCAUAAUAAUCAGUCGCCAUCCUCUUCCCUACCAUACUUAUAGUGACCUGCCACCAAAAUGUUAAGAGUUAUAGCAUCUGGAACUACACCCUUCUUUUUCAUUUCUUCAUAUAGCAUAUUUGCUUGAUACAUUUCCCGUGCUUUAACGUAGCCAUCCAUCAACGCAUUAUAUGUGAUGGUGCUAGGAAAGACACCCACCUCUUGCAUUCCAUCAAACACUUUUCUGGCUUCCAUCAUGUUGCCUUCUUUGCAUAGGGCGUUAAUUACCGUACUAAAGGUAGAGAUAAUUGGAUUACAUCCAUGAUCAAUCAUCAUAUGCACCCAGUGCAAUGCAUUUGAAGUCCAAUUGCAGUGUUAUUAAAAGCGCUCGCUACAACACUAAAAGCGUGUAGCGAGGCGAAGCGAAGCUCUAACGCCACAAAGGGCAGUGUGGCGAUGCUAUGCAGAAUAGCAAGGGCAACAGCUGCUGUGGCGAGGCGAGGCGUGAGGCGCUGUGUAGCGACGCUAUUUUGAAAAUACAGCUAAUUAAAACACAAGUUACACAACAGCUUUGAUAAAACACAGCAGUCACAAAUUAGGGUUUUGCUGCUCCAUCAUCUUCUUCUUCCGGCCUCUGCGAGUGCCCAGGUAUGUUCUUCAUCUUCACUUCUUCUUUCUUCUUUCUUCUUUCUUCUUUCUUCCUUCUUCCUUCUUCUUUUCUCUUUCUGGACUCGACAUACAUCACAGGCUCUGUUUUUUUUUUCUUUCUCUCUGUUUUUUCUUUCUUCCUUCUUCUUCUCUUUCACAGUCUCUGUUUUUUUCUUUCUCUCUAUUUCUUCUUUCUUCUUUCUUCUUUCUUCUUUCUUCUUUUCUCUUUCACAGUCUCGACCAGACUCUGUUUUUUCUUUCUCUCUAUUUAUUCUUUCUUCCUUCUUCUUCUCUUUCACAGUCUCGACUCUCG
rnacentral:lncRNA from 1 species